rfam:Echinostoma caproni strain Egypt genome assembly, scaffold: ECPE_scaffold0004649
GCACUGCUGACGAGUCCCAAAAAGGACGAAGCAGCUGUCUAGUUC